GUAGUCUCGCACAGAUGCAUAUCAAUAAGCGGAGGAAAAGAAACUAACAAGGAUUCCCCUAGUAACGGCGAGUGAAGCGGGAAGAGCUCAAAUUUGAAAUCUUAAAGGGUUUCCCUUUACGAAUUGUAGUUUAAAGAAGUGUUUUCUGUUGAGGUUUUGGUAAAAGUUCUUUGGAAUAGGACAUCAUAGAGGGUGAGAAUCCCGUAUUUGACCUUUACUUUCAACUUUGUGAUACACUUUCAAAGAGUCGGAUUGUUUGGGAAUGCAGUCCAAAAUGGGUGGUAAAUUUCAUCUAAAGCUAAAUAUUGGCGAGAGACCGAUAGCGAACAAGUACCGUGAGGGAAAGAUGAAAAGAACUUUGAAAAGAGAGUUAAACAGUACGUGAAAUUGUCAAAAGGGAAGCGUUUGACACCAGUGUUGUUUUUCUGAAAAUCAAUUAAAGAACUGUUUAUGCUAAGCUGUUUAGACUUUAUCAGCUAACUGUUUAGUUUUGAGCUUUUCUUUAAUGCACUUUUCAGUUAACAAGUCAACAUCAAUUUCUUUUGCUGUAAAAAAGCUUGAGGAAGGUGGCUUGAGAUUCGUCUUAAGUGUUUAUAGCCUCUUGCCUAUGCAGUCGGAGAGAUUGAGGUCUGCAGCGUAGAUCCUUCGGGGCUAAAUGCAUUUGUGCUAAGUUAUAGCAUUUUAUAGACAACUUGUUGACUAUGAUUUGUCUUGUAGCUUACUCGCUUAUGUUAUUUUACCUACGCUUAGGAUGUUGAGUAGCGACAUACGCAC
rnacentral:rRNA from 1 species